CCAAUAGCGUAUAUUAAAGUUGUUGCAGUUAAAAAGCUCGUAGUUGAAUUUCGGGAUUGACGUGAUGGUCGUGCCUUACGGGGUAUGAACUGUCGCAGUUGAUUUCUCACCUUCUGGAGAAGCUCGAUGUCCUUAAUUGGGUGUCUCGCGGAACCAGGACCUUUACCUUGAAAAAAUUAGAGUGUUUAAAGCAGGCAUUUUGAUCGAAUACAUUAGCAUGGAAUAAUAGAAUAGGACGGCAUGGUUCUAUUUUGUUGGUUUCUAGGAUCACCGUAAUGAUUAAUAGGGAUAGUUGGGGGCAUUAUUAUUCAAUUGUCAGAGGUGAAAUUCUUGGAUUUAUUGAAGACUAACUACUGCGAAAGCAUUUGCCAAGGAUGUUUUCAUUAAUCAAGAACGAAAGUUAGGGGAUCGAGGACGAUCAGAUACCGUCGUAGUCUGAACCAUAAACUAUGCCGACUAGGAAUCAGACGAUGUUAAUUUUUUAAUGACUCGUUUGGCACCUUACG
rnacentral:rRNA from 1 species